CAAUAGCGUAUAUUAAAGUUGUUGCGGUUAAAAGCUCGUAGUUGGAUUUCUGUUGAGGACGGCCGGUCCGCACUAUGUGCGUGUAUCUGGUUCGGCCUUGGCAUCCUUCUGGGGAACGGUGCUGCGCUUGAUUGCGUGGUCCGGUAUUCAGAACUUUUACUUUGAGGAAAUUAGAGUGUUCACGGCAAGCUAUCGCUUUGAAUACAUUAGCAUGGAAUAAUAAUAUAGGGCAUAAGUUCUAUUUUGUUGGUUUCUAGGACGUAUGCAAUGAUUAAUAGGGAUAAUUGGGGGCAUUCGUAUUAACACGUCAGAGGUGGAAUUCUUAGAUUGUGUUACGACGAACUACUGCGAAAGCAUUUGCCAAGGAUGUUUUCAUUGAUCAAGAACGAAAGUAUGGGGAUCGAAGACGAUUAGAUACCGU
rnacentral:rRNA from 1 species